rnacentral:rRNA from 1 species
GUCCACGCUGUAAACGAUGUCGACUUGGAGGUUGUGCCCUUGAGGCGUGGCUUCCGGAGCUAACGCGUUAAGUCGACCGCCUGGGAGUACGGCCGCAAGGUUAAACUCAAAUGAAUUGACGGGCCCGCACAAGCGGUGGAGCAUGUGGUUUAAUUCGAUGCAACGCGAAGAACCUUACCUACUCUUGACAUCCACGGAACUUGGCAGAGAUGCCUUGGUGCCUUCGGGAACCGUGAGACAGGUGCUGCAUGGCUGUCGU